rnacentral:rRNA from 1 species
GAAACCCAGUGUGACUCGUCACACUAUCAUUAACUGAAUCCAUAGGUUAAUGAGGCGAACCGGGGGAACUGAAACAUCUAAGUACCCCGAGGAAAAGAAAUCAACCGAGAUUCCCCCAGUAGCGGCGAGCGAACGGGGAGGAGCCCAGAGCCUGAAUCAGCAUGUGUGUUAGUGGAAGCGUCUGGAAAGGCGCGCGAUACAGGGUGACAGCCCCGUACACAAAAGCGCAUGUGCUGUGAGCUCGAUGAGUAGGGCGGGACACGUGGUAUCCUGUCUGAAUAUGGGGGGACCAUCCUCCAAGGCUAAAUACUCCUGACUGACCGAUAGUGAACCAGUACCGUGAGGGAAAGGCGAAAAGAACCCCGGCGAGGGGAGUGAAAAAGAACCUGAAACCGUGUACGUACAAGCAGUGGGAGCACAGGUUUACCUGUGUGACUGCGUACCUUUUGUAUAAUGGGUCAGCGACUUAUAUUCUGUAGCAAGGUUAACCGAAUAGGGGAGCCGGAGGGAAACCGAGUCUUAAUUGGGCGUUAAGUUGCAGGGUAUAGACCCGAAACCCGGUGAUCUAGCCAUGGGCAGGUUGAAGGUUGGGUAACACUAACUGGAGGACCGAACCGACUAAUGUUGAAAAAUUAGCGGAUGACCUGUGGCUGGGGGUGAAAGGCCAAUCAAACCGGGAGAUAGCUGGUUCUCCCCGAAAGCUAUUUAGGUAGCGCCUCGUGAAUUCAUCUCCGGGGGUAGAGCACUGUUUCGGCUAGGGGGCCAUCCCGGCUUACCAACCCGAUGCAAACUGCGAAUACCGGAGAAUGUUAUCACGGGAGACACACGGCGGGUGCUAACGUCCGUCGUGAAGAGGGAAACAACCCAGACCGCCAGCUAAGGUCCCAAAGUCAUGGUUAAGUGGGAAACGAUGUGGGAAGGCCCAGACAGCCAGGAUGUUGGCUUAGAAGCAGCCAUCAUUUAAAGAAAGCGUAAUAGCUCACUGGUCGAGUCGGCCUGCGCGGAAGAUGUAACGGGGCUAAACCAUGCACCGAAGCUGCGGCAGCGACACUGUGUGUUGUUGGGUAGGGGAGCGUUCUGUAAGCCUGCGAAGGUGGCCUGUGAGGGUUGCUGGAGGUAUCAGAAGUGCGAAUGCUGACAUAAGUAACGAUAAAGCGGGUGAAAAGCCCGCUCGCCGGAAGACCAAGGGUUCCUGUCCAACGUUAAUCGGGGCAGGGUGAGUCGACCCCUAAGGCGAGGCCGAAAGGCGUAGUCGAUGGGAAACGGGUUAAUAUUCCCGUACUUGGUGUUACUGCGAAGGGGGGACGGAGAAGGCUAUGUUGGCCGGGCGACGGUUGUCCCGGUUUAAGCGUGUAGGUGUGUGUUCCAGGUAAAUCCGGUUCACUUUAACACUGAGGCGUGACGACGAGGCACUACGGUGCUGAAGCAACAAAUGCCCUGCUUCCAGGAAAAGCCUCUAAGCAUCAGGUAACAUCAAAUCGUACCCCAAACCGACACAGGUGGUCAGGUAGAGAAUACCAAGGCGCUUGAGAGAACUCGGGUGAAGGAACUAGGCAAAAUGGUGCCGUAACUUCGGGAGAAGGCACGCUGACACGUAGGUGAAGUGAUUUACUCAUGGAGCUGAAGUCAGUCGAAGAUACCAGCUGGCUGCAACUGUUUAUUAAAAACACAGCACUGUGCAAACACGAAAGUGGACGUAUACGGUGUGACGCCUGCCCGGUGCCGGAAGGUUAAUUGAUGGGGUCAGCGCAAGCGAAGCUCCUGAUCGAAGCCCCGGUAAACGGCGGCCGUAACUAUAACGGUCCUAAGGUAGCGAAAUUCCUUGUCGGGUAAGUUCCGACCUGCACGAAUGGCGUAAUGAUGGCCAGGCUGUCUCCACCCGAGACUCAGUGAAAUUGAACUCGCUGUGAAGAUGCAGUGUACCCGCGGCAAGACGGAAAGACCCCGUGAACCUUUACUAUAGCUUGACACUGAACAUUGAGCCUUGAUGUGUAGGAUAGGUGGGAGGCUUUGAAGUGUGGACGCCAGUCUGCAUGGAGCCGACCUUGAAAUACCACCCUUUAAUGUUUGAUGUUCUAACGUGGACCCGUUACCCGGGUUGCGGACAGUGUCUGGUGGGUAGUUUGACUGGGGCGGUCUCCUCCUAAAGAGUAACGGAGGAGCACGAAGGUUGGCUAAUCCUGGUCGGACAUCAGGAGGUUAGUGCAAUGGCAUAAGCCAGCUUGACUGCGAGCGUGACGGCGCGAGCAGGUGCGAAAGCAGGUCAUAGUGAUCCGGUGGUUCUGAAUGGAAGGGCCAUCGCUCAACGGAUAAAAGGUACUCCGGGGAUAACAGGCUGAUACCGCCCAAGAGUUCAUAUCGACGGCGGUGUUUGGCACCUCGAUGUCGGCUCAUCACAUCCUGGGGCUGAAGUAGGUCCCAAGGGUAUGGCUGUUCGCCAUUUAAAGUGGUACGCGAGCUGGGUUUAGAACGUCGUGAGACAGUUCGGUCCCUAUCUGCCGUGGGCGCUGGAGAACUGAGGGGGGCUGCUCCUAGUACGAGAGGACCGGAGUGGACGCAUCACUGGUGUUCGGGUUGUCAUGCCAAUGGCACUGCCCGGUAGCUAAAUGCGGAAGAGAUAAGUGCUGAAAGCAUCUAAGCACGAAACUUGCCCCGAG